rnacentral:rRNA from 1 species
GACGAACGCUGGCGGCGUGCUUAACACAUGCAAGUCGAACGGAAAGGCCUGCAGCUUGCUGCGGGUACUCGAGUGGCGAACGGGUGAGUAACACGUGGGUGAUCUGCCUUGCACUUCGGGAUAAGCUUGGGAAACUGGGUCUAAUACCGGAUAGGACAGCUGUUUAGUGUCAGUUGUGGAAAGUUUUUUCGGUGCAAGAUGAGCUCGCGGCCUAUCAGCUUGUUGGUGGGGUAAUGGCCUACCAAGGCGUCGACGGGUAGCCGGCCUGAGAGGGUGUACGGCCACAUUGGGACUGAGAUACGGCCCAGACUCCUACGGGAGGCAGCAGUGGGGAAUAUUGCACAAUGGGCGGAAGCCUGAUGCAGCGACGCCGCGUGGGGGAUGAAGGCCUUCGGGUUGUAAACUCCUUUCGACAGGGACGAAGCGUAAGUGACGGUACCUGUAUAAGAAGCACCGGCUAACUACGUGCCAGCAGCCGCGGUAAUACGUAGGGUGCGAGCGUUGUCCGGAAUUACUGGGCGUAAAGAGCUCGUAGGUGGUUUGUCGCGUCGUCUGUGAAAUUCCGGGGCUUAACUCCGGGCGUGCAGGCGAUACGGGCUGACUUGAGUGCUGUAGGGGAGACUGGAAUUCCUGGUGUAGCGGUGAAAUGCGCAGAUAUCAGGAGGAACACCGAUGGCGAAGGCAGGUCUCUGGGCAGUAACUGACGCUGAGGAGCGAAAGCAUGGGUAGCGAACAGGAUUAGAUACCCUGGUAGUCCAUGCCGUAAACGGUGGGCGCUAGGUGUAGGGGGCUUCCACGUCUUCUGUGCCGUAGCUAACGCAUUAAGCGCCCCCCCUGGGGAGUACGGCCGCAA